rnacentral:rRNA from 1 species
CAAUAGCGUAUAUUAAAGUUGUUGCGGUUAAAAAGCUCGUAGUUGGAUUUCGGGGUGGCCUGGCUGGUCCGCCGCAAGGUGAGUACUGGUCAGCCGCCCUUCCUCUCGAAAGCCCCGACUGCUCUUUACUGCAGUGGUCGGGUAGUUCGGGACGUUUACUUUGAAAAAAUUAGAGUGUUCAAGGCAGGCUAUCGCCUGAAUACAUUAGCAUGGAAUAAUGGAAGAGGACCUCGGUCCUAUUUUGUUGGUUUCUAGGGCCGAAGUAAUGAUUAAGAGGGACAGUUGGGGGCAUUCGUAUUUAAUUGUCAGAGGUGAAAUUCUUGGAUUUAUGAAAGACGAACUAGUGCGAAAGCAUUUGCCAAGGAUGUUUUCAUUGA